CAGACGCAUAGAACUAGGCACAAAGCAACCAAACCAACACAGGUUUUUUAUUCUUCAAUCUUUUUUUUUUUAUAUGAGAGAAAUUUAAUUUUGUUCGCAUAAGAGCAGACAUACAGCCUGGAUGUGCACAUUGGCUUCUAACUCAGCAGCGUUUUCAGCUGAGCAGCUACUGCUCGGAGCCUGAGAUCCAAAUUGCCUCUGAUGAAGAACAACUGGUUUCCCACCUUGUUUACUAAUAGUUUUUUAUACCACGGUGAUAUACCUGCAAGAAUAGGACAAAGGAGGCGGCACUUCUCACUAUCUGACUGGGGCCUUUGCAACCACUUCACUGCUGAAGCUUUCUAAAUGAGCCAAGGGUCACAUAUAAUAUUGGCGUUAUAGAUCGAUUGUAAGAAACUGCAGCAAUUAGAGCAAAGCUCAAACAAGAAACCAGACUCGCUGACCUAAAUCAAUCCCAGUCCUUCUGGAUACAGGGCAGUCGACUAGCAUUGACACAACCAGCCAUCAAGUGGAGAGUCUCUGGGAUUGCAAUCUGUGUCAGUUGGAGCCUGUGAGAAUGAAACACUCCACUUUCGUUUAUCCACUUGCUUCUUUUUUUACCCCUUCUUUCCCUGUAAGCAGCUAUUAAUUGUGCUUGGUUUCUAAGUGUAUAUUUGUGUGGAUUAGUCUGUCUGUAGUGCAGUCCUUAUCUGCUCUAGCUGGAAAUCAGGGCACUAAGUCAGCCUGCUUUAACAGUUGUUUCUUUCUGCGUGAUGCUAUGCAGCUAGAAUGGGUUACACUGACAACAAAGGAGGAAGCACAAAGCAUCACUUUAUCUUCUGGGCUCUUACAGGAACAUAACUCUUUUUUCCUGAUAUGCCGCCCUCUUUUUCUUUUCUGCUUUUUUUUUUUUUAAAUUCAUCUAAUCGAAGAGCCUAACAGACAAUCAUCAUGGAUGUGGUUUUUAAUGAUUUGGAAAAGACAGCCUGUGGAGACUGUGAUUUGAGACAGCAACACAUUUAGGUUAUUGCCAAUUUGAAAUACUUGGUUUGUGAAGCAGAGCCCUAAGGGACAAGCUCAGUAACUAAGAGAAAGAUCGUAGAUAAAGAAAUAAAAAUGACAAGCGUAAUGGAGGUUCUGCAAAAGAGAAUGUCAGAGAAUCAGUUCAUGGAUGGCAAUUUCACCAGUCUGAAACUGAAUAAUUCAUAGAAUGAAAUUACCCUGCUUUCACCUUUCCAUUUAAACCGGCAUGAUCUGAAUCUCUAAUAAAUCUUCAAGAUAAAGUAAAACGCCAAUUUGAAUCUAAAGAGCUUUUAAAACCAGAUGCUACAUUCUGAAUCUUUCGAUACCUUUCACAAUUUUCCUGUGAGAACCGCACUUCAUCACGAAGCACCAUUACCAGUGAAAAUUACUGUGAUUACAAUAGCAACAAUAGAAUAUCAUCAAAUGAUACCUAAUUUUCCUAAUUUACUAAGGCUGACAGUGUGGUUUUAAUGCCCAUCGUGUGUCAUCAUGUCUGGUACUGGAUCAGUAUCACAUUGGAACAAAAAUGUCUUAGUAUAUGCCUCAAUCUUUGCUACUUUUAACUUUGAAAACACAGGAAAAUCUAUAUACAGUGUUAAAAUUUGCAUUGUAAGCGUGUUUUAAGGAUUAAAUUUUUUGCCAAAUUUGGGACCAGAAAGAAAUUUCCACCUCAUCCCCAUAGCUUGGAUUGUGGUUGAUCCUUUCACUUCCUGUGGAUCAACAAAGAUGGGAUCAUUAGGGAAUAUGUCUUGAUUUGAGAGGCAUGGGCUAUUAUAAUACUAAGCAGGCUCUGAGUCUUCCAUGUGACAAUCCCUUCACUGAAAUUAGCUUCCUUGAUGAAGUGCUGGAGUCCUGCGGGGCUCAGCUGAAUAUUUCAGUGCUGGGAAUGUAGGCCCAGGGACUGGAAGCACUCGAUGGUGAGUUGUGUGAAGCGGAGGGCCUCGUCGAACGUGGAGGCCUUCAGGAAGCAAUCAUCAAGGUAAGGGAAUAUUAUGACUCCUUUUUUCCUGAGGUAGGCAGUGACUACCGCUAGGAGCUUGGAGAAAACUCGAGGGGCAGUGGAAAGGCCAAAUAGUAGAACUCUGUAUUGGAAAUGCGUUGAGCCGAGGGUAAAACGAAGAAAACGUCUGUGGGCUGGGUGGAUAGUGACGUGAAAGUAGG